GAUGAACGCUGGCGGCGUGCCUAAUACAUGCAAGUCGAGCGAACAGACGAGGAGCUUGCUCCUCUGACGUUAGCGGCGGACGGGUGAGUAACACGUGGAUAACCUCCCUAUAAGACUGGGAUAACUUCGGGAAACCGGAGCUAAUACCGGAUAAUAUAUUGAACCGCAUGGUUCAAUAGUGAAAGACGGUUUUGCUGUCACUUAUAGAUGGAUCCGCGCCGCAUUAGCUAGUUGGUAAGGUAACGGCUUACCAAGGCAACGAUGCGUAGCCGACCUGAGAGGGUGAUCGGCCACACUGGAACUGAGACACGGUCCAGACUCCUACGGGAGGCAGCAGUAGGGAAUCUUCCGCAAUGGGCGAAAGCCUGACGGAGCAACGCCGCGUGAGUGAUGAAGGUCUUCGGAUCGUAAAACUCUGUUAUUAGGGAAGAACAAAUGUGUAAGUAACUAUGCACGUCUUGACGGUACCUAGUCAGAAAGCCCCGGCUAACUACGUG
rnacentral:rRNA from 1 species